rnacentral:rRNA from 1 species
CCUACGGGUGGCAGCAGUGAGGAAUAUUGGUCAAUGGGCGCGAGCCUGAACCAGCCAAGCAGCGUGAAGGAUGACUGCCCUACGGGUUGUAAACUUCUUUUAUAAAGGAAUAAAGUGAGGUACGUGUGCCUUUUUGUAUGUCCUUUAUGAAUAAGGAUCGGCUAACUCCGUGCCAGCAGCCGCGGUAAUACGGAGGAACCGAGCGUUAUCCGGAUUUAUUGGGUGUAAAGGGAGCGUAGAUGGGUUGUUAAGUUAGUUGUGAAAUUUUGCGGCUCAACCGUAAGACUGCAAUUGAUACUGGCAGUCUUGAGUACAGUAGAGGUAGGCGGAAUUCGUAGUGUAGCGGUGAAAUGCUUAGAUAUUACGAAGAACUCCGAUUGCGAAGGCAGCUUACUAAACUGCCACUGACAUUGAUGCUCGAAAGUGUGGGUAUCAAACAGGAUUAGAUACCCUUGUAGUC